AAGUCGUGACAAGGUUUCCGUAGGUGAACCUGCGGAAGGAUCAUUACUGUGAUUUACUACUACACUGCGUGAGCGGAACGAAAACAACAACACCUAAAAUGUGGAAUAUAGCAUAUAGUCGACAAGGGAAAUCUACGAAAAAACAAACAAAACUUUCAACAACGGAUCUCUUGGUUCUCGCAUCGAUGAAGAGCGCAGCGAAAUGCGAUACCUAGUGUGAAUUGCGGCCAUCGUGAAUCAUCGAGUUCUUGAACGCACAUUGCGCCCCUCGGCAUUCCGGGGGGCAUGCCUGUUUGAGCGUCGUUUCCAUCUUGCGCGUGCGCAGAGUUGGGGGAGCGGAGCGGACGACGUGUAAAGAGCGUCGGAGCUGCGACUCGCCUGGAAGGGAGCGAAGCUGGCCGAGCGAACUAGACUUUUUUUCAGGGACGCUUGGCGGCCGAGAGCGAGUGUUGCGAGACAACAAAAAGCUCGACCUCAAAUCAGGUAGGAAUACCCGCUGAACUUAA
rnacentral:rRNA from 1 species